GAUUCCCAGGUGUUUCUAUUCAGUGAUCAGCACUGAACACAGAGGAUUCACCAUGGAUUUUGGGCUGAGCUGGGUUUUCCUUGUUGCUAUUUUUAAAGGUGUCCAGUGUGAGGUGCAGCUGGUGGAGUCUGGGGGAGGCUUGGUCCAGCCUGGGGGGUCCCUGAGACUCUCCUGUGCGGCCUCUAGAUUCACUUUCAGUAGCUCUAACAUGCACUGGGCCCGCCAGGCUCCAGGGAAGGGGCUGGAGUGGGUCUCAUUCAUUAGUUAUGAUAGGGGUAGCACAAGCUAAGCAGACUCCGUGAAGGGUAAAUUCACCAUCUCCAGAGACAACGCCAAGAACUCGCUGUAUCUGCAGAUGAACAGCCUGAGAGCCGAGGACAUGGCUGUGUAUUACUGUGUGAGAGACACAGUGAGAGAGGCCCGUGUGAGCCCAGACACAAACCUCCUGCAGGGACACUCGGGGGAAUCAGCUGCAGGGGGCGCUCAGGACCCACUGGUCAGAGUCAACCCCAGAGGCAGGUGCAGAUGGAGCUGAUUUCCUGUCAGAAUGUGGGAUUUUGUCGUUUUACAGUUUCUCUAGUUAAUCUCUCUAAGUUUAGAAUUAUGUGCUCCCAUUUGCUCAGGACCCUCCACUGUGUUGUGUGUAGACUCAUCUGGGAGUGCAAUUGGCUGUUAAUAGUGAAAGGGAUAAACUUAUUUGAUACAAAUGGGAUGUGGAUGUGGAAAUAA